rnacentral:rRNA from 1 species
GGUGGCUAUGCCGAGAGGUCCCCACCCGAUCCCAUCCCGAACUCGGUCGUUAAGCCUCUCCGGGCCAAUGGUACUUCGUCUUAAGGCGCGGGAGAGUAGGUCGCCGCCAGGU